rnacentral:tRNA from 1 species
GGCGAGGUAGCUCAGUUGGUUAGAGCGCAGGAUUCAUAACCCUGAGGUGAUGGGUUCAAUUCCCAUCCUCGCUACGA